UCUGUAUAUUCACUCCCCAAAAUGCUGCAAUGGCUGGAGCUGAGCCGAUGUGAAGUCAGGAGCCAAGAGCUCUCUCCAAGUCUCCCAUGCGGGUCAGUGGCCUAAGGACUUGGACCAUCUUCUACUGAUUUCCAAGGCCAUAACAGAGAGCUGGAUUGGUAAUGGAGUGGCCUGGACUCGAAGCAGCACCCAAAUAGAUUGCCUGCACUGCAGGUGGGGGCCUUACCCACUACGCCACAGUGCCAGCCCCUUGCCCAUUUCUUAACUCUCACUUGCCCAUUUCUUCCUCUCACUGUUUGUUUUGCUGUUGAGUUUCUUGAUCUCUUUACAUAUUCUGCUUAUUGAUCCUUUAUCAGUUGCAUAGUUUGCAAAUAAUUUCUCCCAUUCUUUCAGUUGCCUCCUCACUAUCCUGUUUCUUUUGUAGUAUAAUGAUUUAUCAACUUGAUGUAAUCCCAUUUGUUAAUUUUUGCUGUUAUUGCUUAUGUCUCUGUCGUCUUUUCCAAGAACUAUUUGUCUGUGCCCAUGGCUUGCAUGGUUUACCCAAUGUUCUCUAAUAACUUGAUGGUAUUGGGUCAUAGAUUUAGACCUUUAAUCCAUUUUGAGUGGAUUUUUGUGUAAGGCAUAAGGUAGGGUUCUUGCUUCAUACUUUUGCAUGUGGAAAUCCAGUUUUCCAGCACCAUUUUUUAAAGAGAUUGUCCUUGCUCCAGGGGUUGGUUUUAGCUCUUUGGUCAAAGAUAAGUUGGUUUUGGAUGCUUGGAUUGAUUCCUGACAUUUCUAUUCUUUUCCAUUGGUCCAGCCAUCUGUUUUUGUACCAGCACCAGGCUGUUUUGAUUGUAAAUACCUUGUAGUAUGUCUUGAGAUCUAGUAUUAUGAUGCCUCUGGCUUUGUUUUUGUUGUAUAAGAUUUUGUUUUGUUGUAUAAGAUUGCUUUAGCUAUUAGGGCUCUUCUGGGUUUCCAUAUGAAUUUCAGCAUCAUUUUUUCCAUAUCUCAGAAGAAUGUCCCUGGUAUUUUGAUUGGUAUUGCAUAGAAUCUGUAAAUUCCUUUUGGAAGUAUGAAUAUUUUUUAAGUUUGUAUUUAGUGAAUUCAUUUUUCAUAGAUACAACUUUAGGAAUAUAGUGGAACUCCCAACCCCAUUACCCACCCUCCUCCCCCAACUCCCAUCCCACCUCCCUCUCCCUCCCCCAUCUCCUUCAUUCAUUAUGGUUCAUUUUUAGUUUGAUUUUAUAUACAGAGGACCAACAUAGAUUUCAAUAGUUUACACCCAUGCACACACACAGCAUAUAGAGUACAGUUUGGGUGCAAAAUUUGCAGUCGAUUCUCAUAAUACAACUCAUUAGGCAUGGAGGUCCUACUUGGGGAGUAAGUGCACAGUACUUCUGUUGUUCCUUUAACAAUUAACACUCUUAUUUAUGAUGUCAGUGAUCACCUGAGGCUCUUGCCAUAGGCUGCCAAGGCUAUGGAAGCCUUUUGUGACCAUAGAUUCCAUUGGUUUUUGGAUUCGGUCAUAAGCAAAGUGGAUGUUCUCUCCCCCACUUCAGAGAAGAGUAUAUUGGAAGUAUGAACAUGGAAGAUUUUUCUAUUUUUUUGUAGCCUUGUCUAUUUUUUCUUUAAUGUUUUAUAAUUCUCAUCAUAGAGAUCUUGACAUCCUUGGUAAAAUUUAUUUGAAGUUAUUUGAUUUUUUGUAGCUAAUGUUAAUGGGAUUGAUCUUAGAAGUUCUUUCUGAGCCAUGGCAUGUAUAUGAAGGCUGUUGAUUUUUGUGUGUUGAUUUUAUAUCCUGAUACUUUACCAAACUAUUAUGAGUUUAGUGGAAUCUUUUGGAUCUCCUUUAUAUAGAAUCAUGUAAUCUGCAAACUGGGAUAGUUUGACUUCCUCCUUCCAAUUUGUAUCCCUUUGGUUUCUUUUUCUUGCCUAAUGGCUCUGGCUAAAACUUCCAGGACUAUAUUGAAUAGCAGUGUUGAGAGUGGGUAUCCUUGUCUGUUUCUGGAUCUGAGUGCUAAUGCUUCCAACUUUUCCCCCAUUCAAUAGGACACUGUCCAUGGGUUUGUAAUAAAUUGCCUUUAUUGAGUUGAGGAAUGUUCCUUCUACACCCAAUUUGCUUAGAGUUUUCUUCAUGAAAGGGUGUUGUACUUUAUCAAAUGCUUCUCUGUAUCUACUGAGAGAAUCAUUUUUUUCUACAUUUGUUAAUGUGAUGUAUUAGAUUUAUUGAUUUGUGAAUGUUGAACCAUCCCUAUAUACUAGGGAUAUAUCCUACUUGGUCUGGGUACAUGAUAUUUCUGAUGUGUUGUUAGAUUCAAUUGCUAGAAUUUUUUGAAGAUUUUUGCAUCUGUGUUCAUCAGGGAAAUUGGUCCGUAGUUCUCUUUCUCUGUUGCAUCUUUUUUAGGGUAAGGAAUUAAUGUGAUACUGGCUUCAUAGAAAGAAUUUGGGAGGAUUCCCUCCCUUUCUAUUGUUAGGAAUAGCUUGAGAAGAAUUGGAGUUAGUUCUUCUUUUAAUGUCUGGUAGAAUUCAUCAUUGAGGCCACUUGGUCCUGUGGUUAUCUUUGUCGUGAGGGUCUUUAUUAUUGAUUCAAUUUCUAGUUGGUUAUGGGUCUAUUUAGGUUUUUUUAUGUCUUCAUGGCUUAAUUUAGGUAGUUUGUAUGUGUCCAGAAAUCUAUCCAUCUCUUCUAGAUGUCCCGGUUUGUUGGCAUAUAGUGCUUUGAAAUAAUUUCUGAUGAUUCCUUUUUUGUCUGUAGUGUCUAUUGUACAUUUCCUUUUUUCUUUAAUUUUAUUAAUUUGGGUCUUCUCUCUCCUCUUUUUGAUUAGUUGGGCCAAUGAUGUGUCAAUUUUCUUUAUUUUUUCAAAAAAACAGUUCUUUGUUUUCGUGAUCUUUUGUAUUAUUUUUUUUUUGUUUCAAUUUUCUUUGUCUUCUCUAAUUUUAAUUCUUUCUUUCUCUUACUAGUUUUGGGUUUGGAUUGCUGUUGUUUUAUAGAUCCUUGAGAUGCAGUGAUAGCUUAUUUAUUUGGUUCCUUUCCAAUUUCUUGAUGUAGGCACCAGUUGCUAUAAACUUUUCUCUUAACAUUGCUUUUGCUGUAUCCUAUAAGUUUUGAUGUGUUGUAUUGUCAACUUCAUUUGUUUCUAGAAAUUUUUUGAUUUCUUUUGUGACCCACUGUUCUUCAGGAGCAUGUGUUUGCGUAUCUUCUAGAGAUUCCUGAGUUGCUGAUUUCUAGCUUCAUUGCAUUGUGGUCUGAGGAGAUGUGUGAUAUGAUUUUGACUUUUUUGAAUUUUCUGAGACUUGCUUUAUGGCCUAGCAUGUGGUCAUUCCUGGAGAAAGUUCCAUGCACUUGUGAGAAGAAUGUGCAUUCUGCAACUGUAGGAUAAAAAGUUCUGUAGAUAUCUGUUAGUUCCAUUUCAUAUGUAGUGUCAGUUAAUUCUAUUGUUUCCUUGAUGAUUUUCUGUCUGGUUGAUCUGUCCAUUGCUGAGUGUGGGAUAUUGAAGACCCCCAUUACUGUUGUAUUUGAUUCUAUUUCUCCCUUUAAAUAAUUUAAUAUUUCUUUUAAAUAGUCAGUUGCCAUGUAAUUAGGUACAUAUACAUUUAUAAUGGUUACAUCUUUCUUUUGAAUUGAUCACUUACUCAUUACAUGGUUCCUUUCUUUGUUUCUUUUUCUUUUUUUUUUUUUUUUUGACAGGCAGAGUGGACAGUGAGAGAGAGAGACAGAGAGAAAGGUCUUCCUUUGCCGUUGGUUCACCCUCCAAUGGCUGCCACGGCCGGCAUGCUAAGGCCGGCGCACCUCGCUGAUUUGAUGGCAGGAGCCAGGUACUUCUUCUGGUCUCCCAUGGGGUGCAGGGCCCAAGCACUUGGGCCAUCUUCCACUGCACUCCCUGGCCACAGCAGAGAGCUGGCCUGGAAGAGGGGCAACCGGGACAGAAUCCGGCUCCCCAACCAGGACUAGAACCCGGUAUGCUGGCGCCGCAAGGCAGAGAAUUAGCCUAGUGAGCCGCGGAGCUGGCCUUUUUCUUUCUUUUAAUAGUUUUGUGUUAAAGUCUAUUUUGUCUGAUAUCAAGAUGGCUACACCAGCUUAUUUUUGUUUUCUGUUAGCAUGGAAUAUCUUUUUCCAUCCUUUCACUUUCAGUCUGCAAGCAUCUUUGUUGGUGAGAUGUGUUUCUUGUAGGCAGACAGGUUUUGUUUUUUAAUUCAUUCAGCCAUCUGUCUCUUUUUACUGGAGAGUUGAGGCUAUUUGCAUUCAAAAUGACUAUUGAUAAGUAACGACAUUGCUUUGCCUGCAUUUAAAGCAAUUUUUGGUAGGUGAAGAUUAGCUGUUUCCAUUUUAAACUAUAAUUUUAGUAAUAAUAUAAUGUCUCUAUUAUUAUAUUAUUUGUUCCUUUCUUGCUGUCUUCCUUUGUGUUGAAUGAUUUUUGGUCCUGGUAUGCUUUGAUUUCCUUUCUCUUUAUUUUCUGCUUAUUUGUAUAGUUUGGAUAGGUUUUUUCUUUGUCAUUAUCACAAGCCUUACAUUAAAUAGCUUAUAGUUAUAAUGGUUUGGUUCGUUCUGAUGACAAUUUGAUGUCAGCAAAAUUUCUAUAUGUUUAACCUUUCCUCCCAACACAUUUUGUAUUACUGAUGUCAUAAUUUACAUCUUUUAAAAUUGUAUGUUCAUUAGUAAAUUAUUUUAAAUGUAGUUAUUUUGGCCAUUUGUGGGAUGUAGGGGAGACCAAUAGGAGAGAGAUCCCACAAUUUCUUGAAAAUGAUUACUAGGCAAUGUGAACAUGAGUACAAGAGUUUACUGAUACUAAUUUUUUAGGUUAUAAAUAUACAUUUUAUGAAAAUGUAACAGACUUAGUUUUUAUAAAAUAUUAUACUUUUUAAACCUAAAGUUAGAAGGUACAGAUGGUUUAGGGAAUUUUUUUGUACGUUUCUUUUUAAAAGAAAGAAAAAAUUGUCAAAGGGGAGUUUAUAUAGGAUGAAAGAACUUUCAUUGUUCUAUCCUUCUCCAUCCUAGUACCUCUGCAGAGGUAGGCUAUGUUUUUUGUUUUAUAAUUGUAAGUAAAUAUGUAUGGACCACGCAUUUUGAAUUUUGUCUUUAAAUUUUAUCUAUAUUCUUCUUUGCUGUAGCAGAUAAUAGAAGAUAUAUGAGGCUCUAGCUCUCUUCCUCCACCCUUCCCAUCUUCCUGUUUUUUUGUUGUUGUUGUUAUGUCACUAUCAAGUUUCUCCUUUUGUUACCUUUGUGAAGAUGUGUGAUUAUGAUGAGUGUAUUAACUCCGUACUCUUUUUUUCUCUCUCUCUCUCUCUCUUUUUUUUUUUUUUUUUUUGACAGGCAGAGUUAGACAGUGAGAGAGAGAGACAGAGAGAAAGGUCUUCCUUUCCAUUGGUUCACCCCCCAAAUGGCCGCUAUGGCCAGCGUGCCGUGGCUGUCGUGCUGCGCUGAUCUGAAGCCAGGAGCGAGGAGCUUCCUCCUGGUCUCCCGUGCGAGUGCAGGGCCCAAGCAUUUGGGCCAUCCUCCACUGCCCUCCCAGCCCCAGCAGAGAGUUGGACUGGAAGAGGAGCAACUGGGACAGAAUCUGGCGCCCCAACCGGGACUAGAACUUGGGGUGCCAGUGCCGCAGGCGAAGGAUUAGCCAAGAGAGCUGUGGCGCAGGCCUUAACUCCCUAUUGUUAUGCCCAGCUUCCGGGGACUGCACUUUCAGAAGGCAGUAAACAUAUUUAUUGCAUUAUAUGGCUAUAGUUAAGUAAUCUAAGCUCAUACUUUGUGGGUAAUUCUAGUUAUUGAAAAUUAACAAUUGCUAAAUAAUUUUUAAGUUUAAAUAAAGCUAAUAUUUAUUUAGUGCUUAUAAUGUGCCAUGUAUCAUUCUAAUUGCUAUAUAAGCAAGAAUCCCAAUUUUUUAUGUUUCUUUUUACAUACAUUAAUCCUCAAAUAACAUUAUGAGGGGGUUGAUAGUAUAUUUUACUUAUAUUUAUGAAAUGGAAACUGAAACAUUUAGAAAUUAAGUAAUUUGUUGAAGGUUACAUACCUCAAAAUGAUAGAGACAGAUUAGAAUCCAUAUAGUCUUGUUCUGCUUGAAAUAGCUUUUGCUGUCUAAUCAUAAUCUCUUGGUUCUUGCCUUAUGCUAGUUCAGUGUGCUCUCUGAGACCCUUCCAAGAAAUCUCUGCUCUGCAAACCUUAGGUGGAUAUAGCUUCUGUUGUUUGCCAUCAAGAACUCUGAAAGAUUCAGAAUAAUGAUGAAAUAGUUACCUAACACUUGUGUACUGCAGGUAUUGUGCUAAAUGCUUUAAAUAAAUUAUGUCACCAAAUCCUUCACAACAGUAGACUAAGGCUGGUAUAUUACAUGUUCUUUUGAGAAUGUCCUUGAGCGGCUCUGCUUCUGUGAAAGCUCUUGUAAUAUAAGUAGUACACAAAAUAAUAUAUGCCAUAUAUAUUAUAUAUGCUAUACAUUAUGGUACUUUAAAAAUGUCAUGAGAAAAUAGCAUUGAAAAGUUUAUUUUGGUGUAAAAAUUUUAAAAUUCAGGGUGUCAUGGAAAACGUUCAUUAUGAAAAAAUACAUGAAUUUCAAAACUUUUUGCACCAAAAUAAACUUACCUUUUAGCUCUAUUUUCCGUGAACUUUUGGAAGUACACUUAGAUAUGUAAUAUAUUUGUAUACAAUAUAUAAUGUAGGGGCAGGUGUUUGGUGCAGCAACUAGGACACGGUUUGGGAUGUUUGCAUCUCAUACAGGAAUAACUGGGUUCAGGUCCUGGCUCUGCUUUUAAUUAUAGCUUCCUGAUAAUACACACCCUAGAUAGGCAGCAUGUGAUGGUUUAAGUAGUUGGGCCCCUGUCACCCAAGUAGGAGAUCCAGAGGGAGCCUAAGUCUCCGGGCUUUGGCCUGGUCAGUCCUAAUUGUUGCAGGCAUUUGGGAAAUGAGCCAAUGGGUGGAAAUCUCUCUCUGUUGUCUCUUUGCCUUUCAAAAAUAAAUAAAAUACAAUAUGUAAUAUGUGUUAUAGAUAUUAAGAACGUUAUAUACAUAUGAAGAAUGUUAUUUCCUAACCAUUUGUGAAUCAGAUACUUUGUGUACUAGUUUAUUUACAUUAUCUCAGGCCAUUCCCACCAGAACUACGUGGAGUAGAUUUAUUAUCUAUUUAACAAAAGAGAAAAUAAAAAUGGUAAAGGUCAAAUAAUGUUGUCAAGAUUUAUUUAUGAGUUGCAGAGUUAAGAUUUGAAUAUGACAUUUUUUUUGCUAAAUAUAAUGUGUCUACUCUUAACCCUGUAAUACCUGCCUCUUCCACAUCCCUGUACUUAUCUGGGAAAUGUUUCCUUUUUGUUCUGGACUGUGGUAGCAUCUAUAUUUCACUGGUUUGUUUCUUUCUCUUCAGUUGACUCUGAGGGACAGCAAAUAUAUAUUAUAUAGACCCCUAUAUAUUAUCUAUCUAUCUAUCUAUCUAUCUAUCUAAAUCUGUAUUGGCCACUCUACAUCCUGUCCUCUGUCUAUGCAGACAUCAUUAUUCAAUGAUCACCGUGUCCAAGUAAGCCAUCUCAAGAACAUAGCUUCUCUUCUACAGGAAGUCACUCCCACUUAGUGAGAGAAAGAUCCCUUUUACCAUUCAAGAAUUGUUCUUAUAUAACUAUGCUUAAUAAGUUGUUGAUGUGUUGCUAUUUUCUCUGACAGAUGAAGAAAAAUGAUCAAAUAAUUAAAUAAGUCAUUUAUUUGAGGAUAUUAGUACACACCUCACUGGGUUUUUGUAGGAUUCAUUGAAUUAAUGCACAUAAUACUCUUCAAAUUGUAUGUUAGCAUGGGCAGUUAGCUAUUAGUACUAUUACUCAGAAUAUAUGUUAUACUAGAAUUGGUGAAUCCAUUAAAAUAUAAAGGAUGCCGGUGGUUUCUGAGGGCUGGGAGGGUAGGAUGCAGAAUGGGCAGUAACUGCUGGAUAGGUGUGGACUUUUCUUUUGAAAACUCUUGCAAGUUCCUAGACAGCAGCUUCUCUUCCUGCGGUUGGGGUGAUGAAAUGUUUUGGAGCUAGAUCGAAGUGAUAGUGUUCAAUACUGUGGCUGUAUUAAAUGCCAUUGAAUUGUAUGGUUGAAAGUGGUUGGCCGGCGCCACGGCUCAAUAGGCUAGUCCUCCGCCUAGCGGUGCCAGCACACCGGGUUCUAGUCCUGGUCCGGGCACUGGAUUCUGUCCCGGUUGCCCCUCUUCCAGGCCAGCUCUCUGCUGUGGCCAGGGAGUGCAGUGGAGGAUGGCCCAAGUGCUUGGGCCCUGCACCCCAUGGGAGACCAGGAGGAGCACCUGGCUCUUGCCUUCAGAUCAGCGCGGUGCGCCAGCUGCAGCGCACCGGCCGCAGUACACUGGCCGCGGCAGCCAUUGGAGGGUGAACCAACAGCAAAAGGAAGACCUUUCUCUCUGUCUCUCUCUCUCACUGUCCACUCUGCCUGUCAAAAAAAAAAGUGGUUAAUUUAUGUUAUGUGUAUUUCCCUUCAGUAAGUCACACAGGUUGUGAUGGAUCACGCAGGUCUAGGGAGACACUUGAGAAUGUAUAGCCUUAAAGUUUGUAUCCUGUGCUCUUCCAUCCCAGAUGUGGUAUCAUAGUCAGAAUUUAGACCUAACCCUUUAUCUAAAUUACAUGCUUUUCAUGUUAACAUGCUGCUUCAGAUAUUGGGGAAGUCCUUCCUCAGUGGUAGAUAGCUCUGUGAGUCUGGGUUGAGAACUGUUGAAGAAGUGUCCCCACCCCAGGCAAGAAAACAAGUGAAGUGUUGAAGCCCUUUAUAGUUUACAAAGCUGCUUCAUUGAACAAUUGGUUACAAAUAAGAGGAAAUUUCCAUGUGCUGAGUAACUUAUUCAACGUGAACGGUAAACAUGACUCGAGGAGAAGUGGAGCCAGAAGGGAACCCUUGAAGUUCAUAGAGACUUCUCUUCUGCGCUUGGCUCCAUCUUUACUGAAUGCAAAAGAAACUCUAAGACUUUAGGGCUUGGUCUUUUAAAAGGAAAGUGACACAGGGCCGGUGCAGUGGCACAGUUUGUUAAUGCCCUGGCCUGAACCUCUGGCAUUCCGUAUGGGCGCCAGUUCAAGAACCAGCUGUUCCUCUUCUGAUCCAGCUCUCUGCUAUGGCCUGGGAAAACAGUGGAAGAUGUAUCAGGUCCUUGGGUCCCUGCACUGAUGUGGGAGUCCCAGAAGAAACUACUGGAUUUGGAUCGGCACAGCUGUGGCCAUUGUGGCCAAUUGGGGAGUGAACCAGGGGAUGGAAGACCUCUCUCUCUCUCGCUCUCACUCUGGCUCUUGCUCUCUCUGCCUCUCCUCUCUGUGUAACUCUGACUUUCAAAUAAAUAAAUAAAUCUUUAAAAAAAUAAAGCAAAGUGACAUCAGUGGUCUCAGUAGUCUGUAAGCAAUGCCAUUGCGCUUGCUGGGGGCAUUUUUGGGGUGGGAGAAGCCAUUUAGUCUAGGCUAAAUAGAUUUUAGGGAUUUUACUAGACUGGGAGAAUCUUCUUGAGAAGUCAAACUUCACAUCAUCCACUGCUAAUCUCAAUAGUUUGCUUUAUUUGUAACUGUGUAAAUGUGUUGUAGCAACAACCAAGUUCAUAAACACAGCCAACUCAUUGCUCAUUCAUAAACAGGAAGGUUUUAAUAAACAGUCACCUCUCCUGUGAAGGCAACUUGACAUACAAAAUUUGACUAAGAAUUAAGUGGCCAAAAAGGUCUUAAUUUAUUACAUGUUAUUCCUUGUAUUUGUUUUGAAGGGAUUUUGAGGUGGCCUUCACACACUUUCUGGGUCUUUGGCACAAACAGGGAAGCCCAGACUUCUGCCAGUACUGUGUAGCCCUGGCUGUGAUGUUGCAGUGAACACAGGGGGAGGGGAGAAGGGCUACUUUUUAUGGUUACAAAACCUUAAGAAACUUCUUGAAAACUUUCAGAUGUUCUUGUCUAUCUUUCAUUAUGAAUUAUGUAUCUUUCCUUGCCACUGGGGAUUUAAAGAUGAAUGGCAUGUUUUCUGCCUCCAGGAGCUAACAGUCUAAAGGAGAAUGAAGUCAUAUAAAGCGUUACCUGAUGAAGAGUUGAUAAGGACUAUCCUAAAGUUAGUGGACUGAAACCAGAUGAAUAGAGCUCACUGAUAAUGCACCUGGGAAAGCGGCUGAACAUUUCUCAAGUGCUUGGAUCACUGCCAUUCACAAGGGAGAUCAGAAUGAAAUUCUAGCUUCCUGACUUCGAACUGAACCAGUUCUGUCCAUUGCAGCCACUUGAAGAGUAAACCAGUAGACCUAAGUUUUUCACCUGAAUGUCUGGUGGAGAUGUAAUCCAACAAUCAAGGAUCCAAUGACUAACCCUGCAGAACAGAAUAAAAGAAACAACAAUGAACAAAAUCAGGACAGUCAUUUGACAGGAGGGAAAGUUCUCCCCUCCACGCUUCUUGAUUGCAUUAGUCAAGGUUCUUCAGAAUAAAAGAACCACACACACACGUGAAGAUAUUUAUCACAAAAAGUCAACUCUUAAUUUUGGAGGAUGGCUUUAGAGGACUGUGAAAAUAGCUUCCUCCAAGUGGUUCAUCCCAAGAACAGUGGUCAACACAAGAGUGAGACAGCAUUGAAGAAUAUUCCCGGGAAAUUCAGAACAUCUGAGAAUUCUAAACUUCAAGGACUAACCAGAAAGAAGCAGAAGAGGGAAGGAAGCUUCUUUCUAUUCUAAAAAGAUCUUAGUGGAAAUUCUUCCAGCUUUUCUCCAUUCAACAUGAUGCUGGUUAUGGGUUUGUCAUAUACUGCCUUCAUUGUGUUGAGGUACAGUUACAGACAGUGAGAGAGAGAAAGAGAGAGAGAGAGAGAAAGGUCUUCCUUCCAUUGUUUCACUCCCCAAAUGGCUGCAAUAAGCCGGAGCUAUGCUGAUCUGAAGCCAGGAGGUAGGUGCUUCUUCCUGGUCUCCCAUGUGAGUGCAGGGGCCCAAGCACUUGGACCAUCUUCCACUGCUUUCCCAGGCCACAGCAGAGAGCUGGACUGGAAGAGGAGCAACUGGGACUAGAACCAGCGCCCAUAUGGGAUGCCGGUGCUGCAGGAGGAGGAUUAACCUAAUGUGCCAUGGCACUGCCCCUUCUAUAGUUUCUUAAAUCAUUAAUUUAUAGCUUUUUUCUGUUGUGGUCAGAAAAUAUACAUAGUGUGAUUUCAACUUGAAAAAUUUUGUUAGAUUUGUUUUUUGACUUAGCAUAUGGUCCAUCCUAGAGAAAGUUUCAUGCAUUGAUGACAAAAAUGUGUACUCUUCUGGUGUGGGAUUAAAUGUUACAUAAAUAUCAAUUAUAUCCACUUGUUCAAUAGUGUAGAUUUGCUCUUUUUUUCCCCCUGUGUUGAUUUUUUUUUCUAGUUGAUCCACCACUGAAGAAAGUGAAAUGUUGAAAUCCCCCAUUAUUACUGUGUUGGAACCUAUGUCUCCCUUUAGAUCCAUUAACAUUUGUUUUAAAUAGCCAGAUGCCUUAGCUUUGGGUGCACAUAUGUUUAUUAUAGUGACAUCUUCCUGUUGAAAUAACCCUUAAUCAUUAUAUAAUGGUCUUCUUUGUAUUUUUUUUUUUUUUUGGACAGGCAGAGUUAGACAGUGAGAGAGAGACAGAGAGAAAGGUCUUCUUUCCAUUGGUUCACCCCCAAAAUGGCCACCAGGGCUGGCACUGUGCUGAUCCGAAGCCAGGAGCCAGGUGUUUCCUCCUGGUCUCUCAUGUGGGUACAGGGCCCAAGCACCUGAAUCAUCCUCCACUGCCUUCCUGGGCCACAGCAGAGAGCUGGACUGGAAGAGGAGCAAUGGGGACAGAAUCCGGCGCUCCAACUGGGAUUAGAAUCCGGGGUUCCAGUUCUGCAAUUGGAGGAUUAGCCACAUGAGCCACAGCACUGGCCUUACUUUGUAUCUUUUAACAGUUUUGCCAUUAAAGUCUGACAUUAGGAUAGCCACUCCUGUAGUUUUUAUUUUCUAUUAGCAUGGAAUAUCUUUUUAUAUCCUUUCACUUUCAGUCUGUAUGUACAUUUGUUGGUGAAGUGUGUUUCUUAUAGGCAACAAAUAGAUGGGUCUUGUUUUUUUAUUCCAGCCAGUCUUUAUCUUUUAAUUGAAUAAUUUAGGCCAUUUACAUUGAAAGUUAUUAUUGACAAGUAAUAACUUGUUCCUGUCAUUUUUUAUUAAUAUUUUUAGUGUUCGUUUUGGGUUUCUUUUGUACUUUUACUCUGAGAUUUUUCUGCCUUCACAUUCUUUCAUGAUGCUAUUUUCCUACUGUUCCUCUGGGUAGUACAUCCUUAAGCAUCAUUUGUAAAACUUAACAAAUGGUGAUAAGUGCUUUCAAUUAGUUUGUUUUAGAAGAUUUUUAUUUCACCUCAUUUAUACAUUCACAGGGUUCCCACAGUCACAGGGUGCAGGGGAUCCACUCAUACUCAGCCCCUUGAACAUCUCUAUCCACAGAGAGAGCCACAGAAUUCCUGAAACAAGCUGCCUGCCUAACCGAGGUUGGUCAGUGCUCUGCCUUGGCAAAUUGAGUCUGGUGCCUUGACCAAGGGGAGGAGUAGCAAUGUGCUGUCACUUCAUGGACCUAUAUGCAUGGUCUGCCCUCCACCAAUGCUGAAGGCCAAAGACAGUGGGGACUGUGGAUUUAUCCUCUGAUAAAAUGCCCCUGUUGUGCAUGGGCGUCAGCAGCAUCUACUCACCUUGUUAAGAUGGCACUUCCUUUGUUCUUGUUGCCAGGUACCUUAGUUGGGGGAGGGGAGGAAAGCAAUGUGCUCUCCCUUCAGUGGGGUAAGUGGACAUCCUGCCACUUGCUAGUGCUUUAGGUUGAACUGAAAAGUCAGUGGGGGCUGCAAGGUUAUCCCUCAGGCAAUAUCACCAUUGGCACAGCUGGUGCAGGUUCCUCUCAACUUGCUUUGAGAAGACGGCAUCCCUUCCAGCCCCUGGCUGUGGAAGUUGCUGGCAGUGUCCUACUUGCUGCAUGAUUGUACCAUCUCCACUGUUCCGUGGUGUCUCUUUUCUUUCUGUAGAUUUUCCAGUGCAAACUUUUCUCCAACUGUCCCCUGGGAAUGCAUUCCCUCCCCUGUUCUCUAGUAUCUUUCCAUGGUCAAAAUCAGUAUGUUUGUUCCCUCUUCAGCCACCUUGGAUCUAAA